AUUGAACGCUGGCGGCAUGCUUUACACAUGCAAGUCGAACGGCAGCACGGGGGCAACCCUGGUGGCGAGUGGCGAACGGGUGAGUAAUGCAUCGGAACGUACCCAGUCGUGGGGGAUAACGCAGCGAAAGUUGUGCUAAUACCGCAUACGACCUGAGGGUGAAAGCGGGGGACCGGUAAGGCCUCGCGCGAUUGGAGCGGCCGAUGUCUGAUUAGCUAGUUGGUGGGGUAAAGGCCCACCAAGGCGACGAUCAGUAGCGGGUCGUGAGAGGAUGAUCCGCCACACUGGGACUGAGACACGGCCCAGACUCCUACGGGAGGCAGCAGUGGGGGAA
rnacentral:rRNA from 1 species